rnacentral:rRNA from 1 species
GCUUUGGCGGCUUCGGCCGCCAAAGGACCUUCAAACUCCAGUCAGUAAACGCAGACGUCUGAUAAACAAGUUAAUAAACUAAAACUUUCAACAACGGAUCUCUUGGUUCUGGCAUCGAUGAAGAACGCAGCGAAAUGCGAUAAGUAAUGUGAAUUGCAGAAUUCAGUGAAUCAUCGAAUCUUUGAACGCACAUUGCGCCCCUUGGUAUUCCGGGGGGCAUGCCUGUUCGAGCGUCAUUACAACCCUCAAGCUCUGCUUGGAAUUGGGCACCGUCCUCACUGCGGACGCGCCUCAAAGACCUCGGCGGUGGCUGUUCAGCCCUCAAGCGUAGUAGAAUACACCUCGCUUUGGAGCGGUUGGCGUCGCCCGCCGGACGAACCUUCUGAACUUUUCUCAAGGUUGACCUCGGAUCAGGUAGGGAUACCCGCUGAACUUAAGCAUAUCAAUAAGCGGAGGAAAAGAAACCAACAGGGAUUGCCUUAGUAACGGCGAGUGAAGCGGCAACAGCUCAAAUUUGAAAGCUGGCCCUUUUAGGGUCCGCAUUGUAAUUUGUAGAGGAUGAUUCGGCGAGGGCUCCUGCCUAAGUCCCCUGGAACGGGGCGUCAUAGAGGGUGAGAAUCCCGUAUGCGGUAGGUUGCCUUAGCCAUGUGAAUCUCCUUCGACGAGUCGAGUUGUUUGGGAAUGCAGCUCUAAAUGGGAGGUAAAUUUCUUCUAAAGCUAAAUACCGGCCAGAGACCGAUAGCGCACAAGUAGAGUGAUCGAAAGAUGAAAAGCACUUUGGAAAGAGAGUUAAAAAGUACGUGAAAUUGUUGAAAGGGAAGCGCUUGCAACCAGACUUGUCCGCAGUUGCUCAGCCGGUCUCCUGACCGGCGUACUCUUCUGCGGCCAGGCCAGCAUCAGUUCGGGCGGUCGGAUAAAGGCCUCGG